rnacentral:lncRNA from 1 species
GUUAACAAGGACACUAUUUGGCCCUCUUGCAGAAAGCAUUGGAGAAACCAUUUAAAAAAUACCUAUAUUCUGUUGUAUUGCAAAAUCCAUUAAGAACAGGACUACAUCAAUAGUGUUUAAUAAUUUGCUUUACCUCCCAAAGCAGAGUUCUGCUUUCAGCUUGUCUUAAGAACUGUUGCCAAAAACAACAGGAAAAAAUCCACUAUUUUAUUAUUCAAAUGCUUAAAACCUCUUAUCUUGUGACUUUUCUAUGGAAUCAUGAAGUAAAUUUGAAGAACCGGGCUUAUUUUAACAAUGAAAGACAAAACUAAUUAAGUGCAUUCUAAAGAGAAAACUUUAUAAAAGUAAAUAAUCCUGUAUAGAAUCUAUGAGUGAACAUUUUCCAGAAAGAUAUUACUAUUAUAGAAUCUUUUGAAGCAAUUUUCUUGAGAAAUAGUAAAAUCUGGGCCAGACUGUCUUGUAGUUAAUUGCAUAUUAGCAGAGCAGCAUGGGAAAUACGAUAUUUAUUGGAUAGGGAUUUCAGCUACUAAACACUCUCUGUUGUGAGAGAAUCUUUUUAUUCCUGAAUAAUGGAAGAACAGUACUUUGGUGCUGACAUCAAUGAGGCACUUUUCUUAGUCCUAGUGGAGGAUGCAGGGUGCUGUUAGACCAAUAUCACAUCUCGAGUCUUGAUCAAAUUUUCAUUCUCUGUCAAUUUGAAAAAGCCGGAAAUGACAGAAUAUGGUAUAGCCAAGGCACACAUAUUUGCAGUUUAAUGAAAAGUAGAUUUCUUAUAUUACUUUUUUCCCCUUUCCAGUGAAGAGCCCUUUGCUAUAUUUCUACCAUCACUAAUAGUUGAAAGUGUUUCAUUACUAACAAGUUCAGUACAACAUGAAAGUUAUCAUGGCUCAUUUGAAAUACUGUUUUGUCUAUCAGAAUAAACACAAGUGAAUUUUUCACCCACAAUAAUAUUAUGUCUUUGCAGCUUUAGGUUUGUUUAUUGUUUUCUUACUAGCCAAACUAUUAACUCUAAUCCCAUUGUUUGUCAGGGAGAGAGAGAGACACAUGCACCUACAUAUAGCAUAAAGUACUCAGCAGGGCUAGUUAUUUGGAUUUCUUGCACAGCAAUUUAGCUUUUUGUAAGUUCAACAUGUAAAUUUUAAAGACAAAUAUAGAGAGACCUAUGUGUUUGAAAUAUAAAUGAUAUAUAUGGAUUAGCAUGUAACUGUAUAUUAUUAAACAUGCAAUGAGCUGACUGGUAAGUGACGUCUAAUUGUAUGGCUAGCAAUGUAAUUUAUUCAGACUGUAUUUUUGUACAGAGCAGCACACACUAACCUAUGCCUCUGUGUCCUCUUUAAUGCCUAAAACUGUGCCUAGAAAUUUCAUCUGUCUUAAAAAUAAAAUAUACUCCAUGCUGUUUAUGCUAUUAGUUUCUCUACUGCUGUUCUUUUUGAGUUUGCAGUUUCACGAUUAGUUCUUCAUUUCAUGAUUUUUGUAGCUGACAUGAAAUUAUCUAUGUGGAAAAAAUAAAAAUAAAAGUGGCUUCCCUG